AAACGAACCAACCCAACAACUACGCAAACACCAGUGGCAGUUUUCAAAAAUACACCUGCCUGCUGCAUCUGAAUUACUCUGAGACUAUUUCUAUAAAUUCGUUAUACACGUGUGCCUGAGUGAAACAAUAACUGCAAGGGCAUUCAGGACUGAUCUUCCAUCAUCAGAAAAUUCCCAAGUCAUUCCUCAGAAUUCAUUUCAAAGUAUGCCUGAUGUCAAAUACUAAACCAACUGGAAGCCAGCUGCAAAGAAAAAGAGAAGCCAGGAAGGCUGUGAAAAAAACUUGAUUUCUAAACUAUCAUUUCACAACUUGCUUUAAGAGCAGAAUUGUUAUAUUAAAAACAUGCACUUCUCAAACAUUGCAAUUUAA